AUACGGAGGGUGCAAGCGUUGUCCGGAUUUAUUGGGUUUAAAGGGUGCGUAGGUGGCGUGUUAAGUCAGUGGUGAAAGCCUGCAGCUCAACUGUAGAGGUGCCAUUGAUACUGACAUGCUUGAGUAUGGACGAGGUAGGCGGAAUUUGUGGUGUAGCGGUGAAAUGCAUAGAUACCUCAAAGAACACCGAUAGCGAAGGCAGCUUACUGGACCAUAACUGACACUGAGGCACGAAAGUGUGGGUAGCGAACAGGAUUAGAUACCCUAGUAGUCC
rnacentral:rRNA from 1 species